rnacentral:rRNA from 1 species
UACAGAGGGGGCAAGCGUUGUUCGGAAUUACUGGGCGUAAAGGGCGCGUAGGCGGCCCGCUAAGUCGAACGUGAAAUCCCCGGGCUCAACCCGGGAACUGCGUCCGAUACUGGAUGGCUUGAAUCCGGGAGAGGGAUGCAGAAUUCCAGGUGUAGCGGUGAAAUGCGUAGAUAUCUGGAGGAAUACCGGUGGCGAAGGCGGCAUCCUGGACCGGCAUUGACGCUGAUGAGCGAAAGCGUGGGUAGCAAACGGG